rnacentral:rRNA from 1 species
CCUACGGGAGGCAGCAGUGAGGAAUAUUGGUCAAUGGGCGAGAGCCUGAACCAGCCAAGUCGCGUGAGGGAGUACUGCCCUAUGGGUUGUAAACCUCUUUUGUCGGGGAGCAAAAGCCGGACGUGUCCGGCUGUGAGAGUACCCGAAGAAAAAGCAUCGGCUAACUCCGGGCCAGCAGCCGCGGUAAUACGGAGGAUGCGAGCGUUAUCCGGAUUUAUUGGGUUUAAAGGGUGCGCAGGCGGAUUUUUAAGUCAGCGGUAAAAUCGUGGGGCUCAACCCCAUCCAGCCGUUGAAACUGGGGAUCUAGAGUGUGCGAGAGGUAUGCGGAAUGCGUGGUGUAGCGGUGAAAUGCAUAGAUAUCACGCAGAACCCCGAUUGCGAAGGCAGCAUACCGGUGCACAACUGACGCUCAGGCACGAAAGCGUGGGUAUCGAACAGGAUUAGAUACCCUGGUAGUC